CCUACGGGAGGCAGCAGUGAGGAAUAUUGGUCAAUGGACGAGAGUCUGAACCAGCCAAGUAGCGUGAAGGAUGACUGCCCUAUGGGUUGUAAACUUCUUUUAUAUGGGAAUAAAAUGUUCCACGUGUGGGAUUUUGUAUGUACCAUAUGAAUAAGGAUCGGCUAACUCCGUGCCAGCAGCCGCGGUAAUACGGAGGAUCCGAGCGUUAUCCGGAUUUAUUGGGUUUAAAGGGAGCGUAGGUGGGUUGUUAAGUCAGGUGUUAAAGGCGGAAGCGCAACUUCCGUAGGGCACUGGAUACUGGCGAGCUUGAAUGCGGUAGAGGUAAAGGGAAUUCCUGGUGUAGCGGUGAAAUGCGUAGAUAUCAGGAGGAACAUCGGUGGCGUAAGCGCUUUACUGGGCCGUAAUUGACACUGAGGAACGAAAGCCGGGGUAGCAAAUGGGAUUAGAUACCCCAGUAGUC
rnacentral:rRNA from 1 species